GGAUUCCCCUAGUAACGGCGAGUGAAGCGGGAAGAGCUCAAAUUUGUAAUCUGGCAGUCUACUGCCCGAGUUGUAAUCUAUAGAAGCGUUUUCCGUGCUGGCCCAUGUAUAAGUGCCUUGGAACAGGCCAUCAUAGAGGGUGAGAAUCCCGUCCUUGACAUGGAUCGCCAGCGCACUGUGAUACGCUCUCGAAGAGUCGAGUUGUUUGGGAAUGCAGCUCAAAAUGGGUGGUAAAUUCCAUCUAAAGCUAAAUAUAGGCGAGAGACCGAUAGCGAACAAGUACCGUGAGGGAAAGAUGAAAAGCACUUUGGAAAGAGAGUUAAACAGUAUGUGAAAUUGUUGAAAGGGAAACGAUUGAAGUCAGUCGUGUUCUUUGGACUCAACCGGUUCUUCCGGCUCACUUCCAUCGAACGGGGUCAACAUCAGUUCUGUCCGCCGGAUAAGGGCAAGGGGAAGGUAGCACCUCCGGGUGAACUUAUAGCCCCUUGUCGCAUACGGUGGUCGGGACUGAGGAACGCAGCUUGCCUUCAUGGCCGGGGUUCGCCCACGUACAAGCUUAGGAUGUUGACAUAAUGGCUUUA
rnacentral:sRNA from 1 species